rnacentral:lncRNA from 1 species
CAGUACCCCUACGCAGGCUACCUCCCCAACAGGCCCACCAUCAGCAGACGCUUCAUGCCGGCGCCAGGCACGCCGGAGUACGAGGAGCUGAAGGCCCACCCUGACAAGGCGUUCUUGAUGACUAUCACCAGCCAGCUGCAGACCAUUCUCGGGGUGUCACUGAUCGAGAUCCUGUCGAUGCACUCGUCCGACGAGGUGUACCUCGGUCAGCGGGACACGCCGGAGUGGACGACGGACCAGAGGGCGCUCGUGGCCUUCAACAGGUUCGGGUCGACACUGAAACGCAU